AAUUGGUGCCAACAUAGAAAUAUGAAGGUGAAAAGGGAAUCAGGUGAAAAACCUGGACUGUUUCCGCAGCUGUAAGUUCCCCGUUGUUUUGUACAUCCCCUGUCACUGUUCUUCGGAAUGGGAAGACGGUACAAAACGGAACGAGUCAGAAGACCUGCCAACUCCAAU
rnacentral:ncRNA from 1 species